rnacentral:rRNA from 1 species
GGGCGGCUACCAUGCAGUCGAGCGAACCUUCGGGUUAGCGGCGGACGGGUGAGUAACGCGUGGGAACGUACCCUCUUCUGCGGGAUAGCCACUGGAAACGGUGAGUAAUACCGCAUACGCCCUUCGGGGGAAAGAUUUAUCGGAGGAGGAUCGGCCCGCGUUGGAUUAGGUAGUUGGUGGGGUAAUGGCCUACCAAGCCUACGAUCCAUAGCUGGUUUUAGAGGAUGAUCAGCCACACUGGGACUGAGACACGGCCCAGACUCCUACGGGAGGCAGCAGUGGGGAAUCUUAGACAAUGGGCGCAAGCCUGAUCUAGCCAUGCCGCGUGAGUGACGAAGGCCUUAGGGUCGUAAAGCUCUUUCGCCAGAGAUGAUAAUGACAGUAUCUGGUAAAGAAACCCCGGCUAACUCCGUGCCAGCAGCCGCGGUAAUACGGAGGGGGUUAGCGUUGUUCGGAAUUACUGGGCGUAAAGCGCACGUAGGCGGAUUGGAAAGUUGGGGGUGAAAUCCCAGGGCUCAACCCUGGAACUGCCUCCAAAACUCCCAGUCUGGAGUUCGAGAGAGGUGAGUGGAAUUCCGAGUGUAGAGGUGAAAUUCGUAGAUAUUCGGAGGAACACCAGUGGCGAAGGCGGCUCACUGGCUCGAUACUGACGCUGAGGUG